rnacentral:lncRNA from 1 species
CCGCCUCUAUCAAGUGGUAUCAGAUUUCCAGGUUGCUCGGUGAGAUUUUACAGUUUUUCGUAGUUUAGAUCGAGUUUGUUCUUCAUACCUAAAGUCCACGAAAAAGCCACAAAAAAAAUUAGGGUUAGUUCAUCAUAUCCGAACCAAUCUGAGCCUUUGCAUAAUCUUUUUAGGGUUUUGCUUUGUUGAAUUUGCGGUUGCAUCGUCGUGUCUAGUUGCUGGUCUUAGAGUCUAGUCUUUUAGAGUUUCGAGUUCUGGUCAUAAGUUGUCACGCCGCCCCGCACCAUCAUCAUCGCCCCUGCCAUCUACCACCACCGCUUAUCCGCCACCGCUCCGAAUCCGUAUCCAUAUACCACCACCAAUCCGUGUCCAUAUACCAUCACCGAUCCAUAUCCAUAUACUACCACCGCUACCACCACCGCUGCCAUAUACCACCACCAUAUAUCCACCACCAAUCCGAGUUCCUUGCAUAUUAGGUUUGUUUUCGAGAUCCAUCUAGAUUCCGAUUCGUGUUUCCUUGCCGGAGUAGGUUUCGGAAAAAAAAGAAAAAGAAAAAAAAAGAAAAAAAAAGAUAGAAAAAAAAAGAAAAAAAAGAGAGAAGAAAAAAACUGGAUCUAUCUAGAAUCAAUCUGGAAUUGGGUGAUUCUUUUUGCAUUGGAAAGCUUGAGUUAGUAGCAUUCUUUGAAAGAAUUUAUCAGAAAAUUGUCUCAAACUUUUCAAGAGGAAAGUUGGAGAGAGAGUUGUUGUAUAUCCUGCUUGGCAGUUGUUUUUCAUCAUUAUCUUCACUGCCGUUGUGAUCUUCACUUAUAUCUUGCUGUCAAGAGCUACUUAGUAUCCUUCAUUGAUGCUAGUUGUGCUACGCCGUGACCUUAUUAGUGUUCUAGGCUCGCGUCUCUAGUCCGGUCUAGCCUAGGACCAGCACAGUACCGUCGUUGAGCGUUUAUUCAACAUUGCAUCUUUGAAUUGAUUAUUGCUAAUCUUUUGCUACCAUAUAUAGCCAACCCAGCUCCACAUAUUUCUACACCGUGUAUACGUACGCUCCCCUGGCAAUCGCUUUACUCAAUAUUCGGAGUUACUUGACACCGCUGGUUGCCGAUCACCGCCUGCUGCAUGGUAAGAACUUGUAAGACAUUGAUAUUUGCGUUACUGUGAGCGUUUUACCACCACAUCCUAGUAGUUAUAGGAACAUUAUUUUUGGGUUUUGUUUCUUGUUCUACUAAUCAUGACAGGAUCCAGAGUCAAUUCAUGGGCUUUGUCGAUCGCGGGAGACGUGCGACCACCUUUGCAAAUACCACAACCGUCACGAGAGGUGCACAAACAUCCAAAUGCACAUGAUCAGGUUAAUGUAUCUAUACCACCAUUUAAUGGCUGUUUUAAACCUGCUUUAUAUAUUGAAUGGGAGUUCGACAUAAAAAAUAUAUUUGCUUCCCAUAAUUUCGAUGAACAUAAAAAGGUUAAGGUUGCGGUUUGUUCUUUCACUGGUUAUGCUUUGGUUUGGUGGAGUGAAUAUUGUCGGUUACACCCUGAUUAUAUACCUACUACUUGGGAUGAUUUGAAACUUGCCAUGCGACAUACUUUCGUCCCUGCUUAUUAUACUCGUGACAUGAUUAAGAAGUUGCAACACUUAAAACAAGGUAGUGAAACUGUAACAAAAUAUUAUGAUGAUUUACAAACUACCUUGUUGCAUUCCUCUUUAGAAGAAAGUGAAGAUGAUUUUAUGGAUAGAUUUUGGGGAGGGUUAAACCAUGAUAUUCAAGAGAUACUAAUUCAUGAAGAGUGUUAUCCUAUGGACCAUUUGUUUCAUCUUGCUUGCAAAGCUGAACAGGAAAUAAAACGACGUGUUGCCCACGAGGAGAACAAGCGCACGGUGCACAUUCCAAGAGUUGAUAUGAUUGUUCCUUCAACUACUAGGCAUACUAUGACAACCACAUCCGUUGUUGUCAGGACUACAUCACCUCCACCAUGUGACACAUCGCCCCCGAGAGUGGCUACAUCAUCUGAGUUGAUCAUAAGAGGUAAUGACAAAGGUACUGAUCUUCCAUCUCUACAUGAGAAUGAUGAAUGCCUUGUCAAUUUGAAUGCACCAUCUGAUGAGCUACCCACUACUUUGAUCACACCACCUAUUUUAGAGGACUACGUUGAUAAUUUGACUUUGCCAUGUGAUCAAACAACUGAAAUACCAACAAUUUUGAGUGCACCCAUUGAAUUAACUAUUGAUGCAAAAGAACCAAUGUUUAAUCAUUUUGAUAUGACCUCUAAUCUUGGUGAUGAUUCUGUGUUGAAUGACUUAUUGCAUGUUUGCUUAUUUAAGCAUGUUGUAGCAUGUAAUUUUGAUGCAAGUAAGGUUUAUUCACCAAUGUUGGGAUGGUUUAAUGAUGAACAUUAUCAAUCUUUUGAAAUGAAUAAGACCUUCACUUAUAUGUGCAAACUGAGUUGCAAUAUUUUCAUGCCUUCUACUUCUUGUGCUAAUUUUUUGGCUUUAGAUUUUAUGAACUAUGCAAGUUACUCAUCUAUUCAUGUGUCAUAUAUGCAAAAAUCAAGGGAAGUAAAACUGGAUGACAUAUACAUAUACAACAUGUACACCUUGUCUCUUUUGUUAGCCACAUUUUAGAUUAAGCAAUGCCGAGGACGGCUUUAUUUUCAAGAAGGGGAGGAUGAUGAGGACAUGACUACCUUGGAUAUGACCAAAAAUAUUGCAUAUAUGCAUAUUUGUCAGGUGAUUUCUAGUGCAAACUAUUCAAUAAUCUAUUUAUGUUAUCCAGAACAAAAAUACUUCACACACUUUUGUGUUUUGUCUAAUUGCAGGUGUAUGGGACAUUUGUACAAUCCACAUAUGAAGAUAAGGAAGAAAGAGAUGUUUAUUUGCUGUCCAAAAAGUUCUCUCACGUCAGUUUUGGCCCAAGAGAAGAUAGAGUCCAAGUCUCUCAUGUUCUGGAUUCAGAUUCGGACUGCACAGACAUACCUGACUCAAAACGCACACAAGUUUUUCAUACGGACUCCGAAUUGGGUGAUUCUUUUUUUGUUGGAAACUAGAUUUCGUGCACUUUCCAACCCAAUUGAAAUCACCUUCAAAUUCGUCCGGAGCAUUGAGUUGUGGACGAAACAAUCUGAUGCUGCAGCAGAAUCCGAGUCAAACUACAAGUCCAAAGGUGUUACAUCACCUCCACUUGGGCCCAUUGGCCUUGUACGACCUAGAUUUAGUUUUAGGCUGCCUUGGGACGUCCUCCCACCUCCUUGGCCGCCACCCCUUGCUCCUAUAUAAGUAGAUCCAUCUAGUAGCUUUUCCUUGGGAUUUGUUUAGUUAAAAGUUAGCCAUUGCAACUUCGUGUGCUUCGUUUGUGUCCAACGACCAGACCAAGACCACUUUUCGGAUCCCCACCAUUAUCAAUACUUCAUACAUAUUCGCGAUAUUCAGAUUGCUUUUAUCAUAUUCUUGCUUGUUCUUCGAUUGCUUGCAGGAAUAGACCUUCGUGGUCAGGUUGAUCGUGCUCCGGCGUGGUCAAUAACCUCUCGGAGUUGGUUUAGCGAUUGCUAAGGCACAAUGUCGUUGCACGUUUGUAGUCGGAUCGUCAAAGUCGUCUCCACCAAAUCGAUAGUUAUCAUCUCAUCGAAAGAUCGGGACACCCCGCCUCUAUCACCUUGGUAUGGAACAAAUUGUGCCUCUGAUUUUGCUCAGCUUGUGUGACCGGCACACUCAAAACACGUUGAGCAACUAAACAUUCAUACCUGUCAGCGUCUUCAGGAGCCAUGUAUUGCGUCUCAUGAUCAGAAUCAUCUCCACCAUGUUCUUCACGUGUAAUAAGAGCCAAUGUCUCCUCAUCAUAGUCACUAGCGGACUCAUAUCCACCAUCCGCGGUAGCAAUCAUCACACGCGGAGAUUUGCAUUCUCUCGCAUAAUGACCUCCUCCCUUACAACGACGACAAAUAAUAUCACUUGUGUGCCCUGUUGAUGCCCUGGAAGAAGAAGAACUCUGUGCAGGCCCGGCAGGUGUGCUCUUGGCAGAUAAUGGUGGUUGUUCCUGUUUUCUUGUAUCACAGCUGUAGGAGGCACCUGAUUGAGGUGCUGGUGCAGUUGAAGUAGAAGAUGCACGCGGCGUCCAUGAGGAAGGUCGGCCUGCAGAAAAGUUAGUUCGCGCCAAUGCUUGUCGAUCCUGCACUUCACGUUCAGCUUUACAAGCAAGAUGGAAUAAACGAGUGAUAUUAGUAUACUCCUUAUAGUCUAGAAUGGUCUGAAUCUCUCUAUUUAAUCCACCCAGAAAACGUGCAAGCAUAGCUUCAUUCUCCUCAACAAUACCACAUCGAAUCAUGCCAGUUUGUAAUUCCUGAUAAUAUUCUUCUACAGAAUUUUUUCCUUGUCUUAAACGCUGCAAUUUUUGAAGCAAUUCACGAUGAUAAUAUGGUGGAACCCAACGCGUACGCAUAGCGGUUUUCAAAGCAGCCCAAGUAGUUGGAAUAGGAUAUAAUCUACAAUGUUCAGACCACCAGACACAUGCAAAACUAGUGAAAGCACAAACAGCAGCAGCAACCCGUCUCUCCUCGGGAUAUUGUAAACAUGUAAAACGUUGUUCAGUUUCUAACUCCCAAGUAAGAUAUAUAUCAGGAACAUAUCUACCCUCAAAUGGUGGAAUAUUCAAUUUCAGUUUAGGAAUAUUGAUGAGGACAUCAAUACCAUUGUUACACCCACAGCCCCUAUUGCUACAUAUACGGGACCAAUUACUAGAGCUCGCGCACGCCAAUUAAAUUAUCAGGUACUUUCGUUUCUUGGUAAUGAUUCUAAUGUUCAUGAGAAUAUGAUGCUGCCUAAAUUGGAUACAUUUGUUUUGCUUACAAAUGAAGGGCCUAGCUUGGAGAAGGAUGAACAUUGGAGCAAGAACAAGCAUGGAGAUGAUGCCAUGCGCAAGGGGAACAAGAACAGAGUUACAAGUGAUGAUUUCAGGACUUUGAAGCCACCAUAAUGGGUCCAUGAAGCCAUGGACGAAAUAUACAAGAUGCCACUUCAUAAAUUUCGUCCCGAGGCUAUUUUAGGUGCUGCGUCACCUUAUUAUUGGGCCAGGCCCAUGUAAUUUCGAAAUACAUAAGUAUAGGCUAUUUUUAGAGUCCGUAUGUGUGGGGAAACAAGAGAUAGGGUUGAUUUCGGACCCCUCCACCAAGGGCCACGAAAUUCCCCCCUCUUCCUCCAUAUAUACAGCCCUUAGGGCAUCGUUUAGACUUUGGGUUUUGUUUAGAUUAAAAGUUCGCCAUAGCUGCAACUUCGCGUACUUCGUUUGUGUUCAACGACCAGACAAAGGCGUCACAGAACCCCACCUUGAUCAAUAAAGCUUUCAUCUUAUAUUCGCAAUAUCCAGAUUGCAAUCUUAGUUUCUUGCUUGUUCUUCGUUUGCUCGCAGGAAACGGACCCUCGUGGUCAGGUUGAUCGUGCUCCGGCGUGGUCAAUAACCUCUCGGAGUUGGUUUAGCGAUUGCUAAGGCGCGACAUCCUCGCACGUUUGAUGAGGACAUGACUACCUUGGAUAUGACCAAAAAUAUUGCAUAUAUGCAUAUUUGUCAGGUGAUUUCUAGUGCAAACUAUUCAAUAAUCUAUUUAUGUUAUCCAGAACAAAAAUACUUCACACACUUUUGUGUUUUGUCUAAUUGCAGGUGUAUGGGACAUUUGUACAAUCCACAUAUGAAGAUAAGGAAGAAAGAGAUGUUUAUUUGCUGUCCAAAAAGUUCUCUCACGUCACUUUUGGCCCAAGAGAAGAUAGAGUCCAAGUCUCUCACGUUCUGGAUUCAAAUUCGGACUGCACAGACAUACCUGACUCAAAACGCACACAAGUUUUUCAUACGGACUCCGAAUUGGGUGAUUCUUUUUUUGUUGGAAACUAGAUUUCGUGCACUUUCCAACCCAAUUGGAAUCACCUUCAAAUUCGUCCGGAGCAUUGAGUUGUGGACGAAACAAUCUGAUGCUGCAGCAGAAUCCGAGUCAAACUACAAGUCCAAAGGUGUUACAUCACCUCCACUUGGGCCCAUUGGCCUUGUACGACCUAGAUUUAAUUUUAGGCUGCCUUGGGACGUCCUCCCACCUCCUUGGCCGCCACCCCUUGAUCCUAUAUAAGUAGAUCCAUCUAGUAGCUUUUUCCUUGGGAUUUGUUUAGUUAAAAGUUAGCCAUUGCAACUUCGUGUACUUCGUUUGUGUCCAACAACCAGACCAAGACCGCUUCCGGAUCCCCACCAUUAUCAAUACUUCAUAUAUAUUUGCAAUAUUCAGAUUGCUUUAUCAUAUUCUUGCUCGUUCUUCGAUUGCUUGCAGGAAUAGACCUUCGUGGUCAGGCUGACCGUGCUUCCAGCAUCGUCAGUAACCUCAGGAGAUUGGUUUAGCGAUUGCUAAGGCGCAACGUCGUUCACGUUUGUAGUCGUUUCGUCAAAGUCGUCUCCACCAAAUCGAUAGUUAUCAUCUCAUCGAAAGAUCGGGACCCUCGCCUCUAUCAAGUGGUAUCAGUUUUCAGGUUGCUCGGUGAGAUUUUACAAUUUUUCAUAGUUUAGAUCGCAUCUGUCAUUCAUACCUAUAGUCCAUGAAAAAGCCACAAAAAAAAGUUAGAUCUGUUCAUCCUUUAUCCAAGCCAGUCUGAGCCUUUGCAAUUUUCUAUUCGUUGCUUGCAUAGUUGAAUUAUCGGUUGCAUCGUCGUGUCAGUUGCUGGUCUUAGUGUCUAGUUCCUUUAGAGUUUCGAGUUCUGUUCACAUUAGUCACGCCGCCGCUGCAUCAUUAUCCCUUCCGCUGUCCACCAUCCCAUCUAUUAAUUUCCACCACGUGCUACGCACUGUUCAUUGUCAUAAUCAUAGUUGAGGUCAUUCACAUCUUCGCUUGAUCCAAUCUGCAUUUUAUCUAGUUUGUCUUGGAAAGAGGGAGAAA